UGAUAUUACGCUUUAUAUUUGCACCUGACGCUUUCCCCCGGUCGUUCUGCACAUUUGUACAAAGAGAUUUUAUUCAACGUUGUUGCAACCUGAAAAAGUCUUUCAACCGAAAGAAAGUAACCAACGUGAAAGAAAUAACGCGAAGAAAGACGUAAGAAAUCUUUAGGAAAGCGACACUUGAGUUUCGAAGAUUCCACUUGCAGCUGGUCGCGUGCGUUUAAUGUCGAUGACCUAGAAUAUUCGCGUGAAAGAGGGCUACGGAGAAAUGUGGUGAAACAGUAUAAUGGUAUUUCAAAUCGAGCGAAAUUGUACACACUCUCUCGUGCGCUGACUCAACCGACUAAUGCCCCUGUUAAUAUAUUCAGCUUCUUGUAAUUCCUCAUCCGAAAACCGGACCGGACCAAUUUGCGCUGGCAUAAUUUAACCGAUAAACUGGUCGUAGAAAAGUAAAAUUACCCGAUCUGAUUAAGUGAAAUUGCAUUUUUACGCGUAGAACGAAACUUUGGUAUGCACAACUGGUUUGACCUGUUCGACUAUAUCGGUGGAAAGCCAAAUAUUUAGUUCUGGGCGAUGCGCACAGGGAACUGGAAUUCAAUUCUUUAUUCCUUACACGUGUCGAUAAAAAUAUGAAUUUGAACAAACAUCCGCAGUCCGAAGACGAGUGUACCUUUCUUUACCCAGUUUGUGUCGUUUAACUAGAAACACAAGUGUGUUCGCACCCGAAUCGACGACGUCCUAGUGGAAAGCACUUCGCUUUCUAGUGCGUAAAACAUGGACGGCGGUUUCACGAUCCGUUGAGGACAUCUCAUUCGUAACGGCGAUGAUGUAUCGCAGGAGAUCCGACGCUUUCGAUAAAUUUGAAAGGCUCGACUUACGAGAUCGGACCUCCCUGUACCCCAGAUCUCUCGUUGAUAAAAAGAAACGGCCGUUGAGCGUGACAAACGCGAAAAAAGAGUAAAAGCGAGGCCUAGGACCCCGGCACUGACAAGCAGCGAAUCAUCGUGGACAAAUAAAGUUCGAUCUCCCGUCGAUACGAAGAAAGUACACUGGUUUUUUGGCUCGUCGCUUUCCCUUCUGGGAAGAGAGGUGCCCCCAACUGUCAAACGGUCGAAAGUAUAGUCGCAUCCUGGAUUGUACGAGUUCAGGAUUUAAAGGCACACGAGACACCACCGGCCAAACCAGUACAACCCAAAGAAAAGCAAAAUGAAAAAAUAAGAAUAUCUGGCUGCAGAAUUUCACGAAAAUCGUAGGAUGAUGGAUCUCGCCAGCUUCCAGCAUCGCGUGAAAGUCUUACAAUUAGAUGAGGCGUUGAAGAAAUCUAAGAAGCGUCCGACUUGGUCAAAAUUCGAAGUAAAUGUUCAUCCAUGGGCAUAAAAAUUGAAGUCACGUUCGAUGAAUGCAAAUGGAACCUCAACAGGGUACCCACGUACAGAUAUGACAUCGACUUUUACGACCUACUGCCGAAAGGAAAUUUACGCAUAGAAAGCAAGUUCAGCCCGAUUUCGUUUGGAUCCCAUCGCUAUGAAAAGUAUGCUUUGCGGAAAUAAUCUGGCGCGAUGUUCUGCGUGUACAGAAGUAAAAAGUAUCGAGAGUCCGCAGGUAUCGAUGAUGUAAGAAUCGCACUCAAGCGUGCACGGAAUUCGAUGUCUUGUUUCUUCUGAAGCUCCUUCGAAGUUCUACUAACCGUGAGAGAACGCGUAAUUAAACAAUUGCAGGUCUACUCAAAACUUGUGGUGAGUAAAUUUCGGUCGCAAUAAGCUUUGAGAAUGAAGUUCGAUUCUCGUUCGAUUUCUGUGUUGUAUAAGAAUGAUGUCACGUUGGAACUAAGUUACCAUUGACAAGCGCGAACGAAGCGAGGGAGAAAGAAAAAUGAAAUUCACGUUCACGGGGAAACUUUCGGUUUCUUUUCUUCGAUUUCUUGACUCGUCAGAAGCGUGAAUCGUCACUCUUUCCCCCGUCGCAUUCAACGCACUGCUUAGCGUGUAAUUUAUUAAAAUUGCAUGGAAACAGAUCGCGAUGACUUUCUUUCUCGCAGAGACGGCUAUCGAAGGUCAUUGUUUUCACCUGACGGAAGCCGCGAAACGGUCCCUUCCGAUUGAUGCGAUCGACAAGAUCGAAUGUCUCGCUUUCUUCGCCGUUUCCACCCCGUUCGAACUUUUUAUCGCGAUUUGCCUCUUAGUUGUCUGAUCGUGUGAAGUUUCGGACGGUUGUUGUCGACCUGUAAAGAUUUAUAACGAUAUCAGCGGCUACUGUUGACAACUGUUUAGGUAUACGUUCGAUUGCCUUUUAAGCACACGAAAUUCUCGGUGUGAUCGAACCUCGGAAAACAGAUAUCGCAGAAUAGACUUAAAUUCUUGCAAACCACAAACCGGUUUCUGCUAGCUGCAAAUGAAUUUAGACCGUGAAGUCGAAGCACGAAAUAUGUUUCCAGUAUAAAACCGAUACCGGUAGAGCACACUGUAUCAGGUCCCGUAGAAAGUUCCUGCCUUCUAUAACAGGGGACAAUAAACUAAUAUAUGUAUAUUAUUUAAUAUGUAUAUAUUUUUUUUUAUUUGUCGACAACGUUCUAACGUAUCUAGAACAAGGAACCGUAACUUAUUAUACUUCGGAAGGGCUUAAUAAUAAACGAACUAACCACAGAUAUUGUAUGUCUUAAAUAAAAAGCGUAGAAGAAUCUUGUACCGCUUCGUAAUGCUUCUUGACUUCUUCGUGUCGACGUUACUCCCCGUCGUAACGCCCCGUCAUAAUUUAAGUCGCAUUGUACAUGAUUGUAUCGUGCAAUGCGUUAUUGCGUCCUGAUGUUAUCGUUUCGGAGGCGUGGUUCCAAUAGUGCGACAGAUAUUCGGCUACUACGGACGUGCAAACGCGUAAGAAAUACUUUAAAUGUACUUUCACCCGCAGGAGAAAGUGCGUUUGCCCUCCGUUACGCCCCUGUAAUAUGCAAAUGAUCGAUUAAAGGGGGAAAUAAGAUAAUCGUACUGGAAACGAGGAUGAACUCGAGAUUAUUAAAUUAUUACGUAAUCGCAUUUUGUAAUUUAACAUUUCCCUGGGAUAUUUGAUGAAGUAAUAAUAAUUGUCUCCAUUCAAGGUGAAUGACCGUCACCCGAACGAAAACCUCUUGCAUUUCUUCCUACCAAAUCGUAACUCGAUAACAUCUUUCUCUUUUCAAGAUCUUUUCCAACGAAUUUGCAAACCAAUCGAAGAAAGCCACAUUUCGUUCAAGAAAGUUGGUCCUUUUUUUUUUUCUUCGUUACAAAUGUUGUAAUAUGAAACUGGUUUUGUAUUCGAAUCGAGACAUUCUCUUGGUAUGAUGUAUGUUCUUGCACGCGUUAAAAUAGUUCCGUUGGUUUAAUGCAAUAACACGCUUCGAGAAGUGUAAUAAUCUUUACGGAGACUUCAAGGACAGUCGUGACUAUUACUUUCUCAUCUAACAGGUAAGGAUGUAAAGUAGUUGAAAUUAAUAGUUUAAACUUUGAACGCUGUAUCUUUUUUAAUGAUAGUGGAAAUUUGCUGCAAUUGAAUGCGCGAACUUUCAUAAAGUUCCAAAAAAGAGUGUCCAAUUAGUGAAUCAAGGCAAGGUGAAAUUGCACCGAAAUCAACAUUAAUCUCUCGUUACACUUUUUAACGGUGAAUUGCAUUUUCUCUUAGGAACACAUAAUUAAUUACAUCUGUAUACAAACAGCGAUGUAUGUUACGUAAUGUAUGCAUACCUGUAGUUCGAAUAAAAUACGUCUGAUCGAGUAGUUCGGUAAACCAGUAUUUAAUGUAUACACGUUACAGGUGCCUAGAGAUUACUGUUACAUCGAGACAUAUCUAAGUAGCAGCAUUUUGAUUUUCAUUAGUAUUUCCUGGUUUGAAACGGGUAUUACUUUUCACAUAACCGAAAAUAGACUCGUGAUAGGUAAUACCAUGAAUUAAAUAAUUAUCAAUUAAUUACGCUACAAAAUGAGA